AUUGAACGCUGGCGGCAUGCCUUACACAUGCAAGUCGAACGGUAACGGGUCCUUCGGAUGCCGACGAGUGGCGAACGGGUGAGUAAUAUAUCGGAACGUGCCCAGUAGUGGGGGAUAACUGCUCGAAAGAGCAGCUAAUACCGCAUACGACCUGAGGGUGAAAGGGGGGGAUCGCAAGACCUCUCGCUAUUGGAGCGGCCGAUAUCAGAUUAGCUAGUUGGUGGGGUAAAGGCCUACCAAGGCAACGAUCUGUAGUUGGUCUGAGAGGACGACCAGCCACACUGGGACUGAGACACGGCCCAGACUCCUACGGGAGGCAGCAGUGGGGAAUUUUGGACAAUGGGCGCAAGCCUGAUCCAGCAAUGCCGCGUGCAGGAAGAAGGCC
rnacentral:rRNA from 1 species